GAUAACGAUAAACACUGCCUUCAUACACAUAAAUAUAGAAAUUUUCAGUAAACUGAACAAACAUCAAAACUAAAAAUGAAACGGAAUUACCGAAACUCCUCAAAAAAAUGAACAUGACAAAAACAAAAUAAAAUUGUAUCGAUUAUAAUGACUGAAAAGUCCCAUUACAGUCCCACGGGAAACCAAUUAUCUGCAGUCAAAAAAGAAUGCUUUAUUAUACCUUUGUUAAGUUAUAAUCUGAGAACGAAGGAUUUUCGAAAAAAUAUUAUUGUCAAAUAAUGUUUCUGAAACCGUUGGAUUUGAAAAGAGGGAAAUAUUGAAAACUAAAAAGGAAAUCUAGCAAAUCGGCUUAGUGAAAUCUCCCCCAUCGAAGAGAAAGCGGAAGAAUAGUUUUGAAAUGAUGGACGAGGAUGAAAGAAAGAAAAUACGAUAAAUCGUAAAUUCAUUUUUUCUUAGAUACGAAUUAUCAACAUUAGACAAAGUGUACGCUACAGCUCUACAUACCAUUAAAAAACAGUUUUAUUUAUGAAAAAUGUAGACUAAACUAUAAAUUUGUAGAAAACCCAGGCAUAGUAUUGUGGCGUUGAAACUAUCUACGCAAAAUUAAAGAAUAUCGCAACCAACGCCGAAAAAUAUUUUAUGCUAAUGAAACCCGCAUAAAUGCUGAACGCACCAGAAGGGAAAGGUUCAACCGAAUUCAUUAUAAAUCAACCGGGAACUAUUGAGAAAUUCUGCAUUUGCUGGAUAAAAUUGUAAAAGACUUGGAAUUCGAGUUUACAGUGAACACGGGUUCCAGUGAUGAAUCUAUUGUCUACCACGAUUUGAACCCAGCCUCUAACAUCACAGUCUGAUCUAUUUGAAAGGACAAUUUGUGGUAUUUUCUUUCUUUUACCAUAUCAAAAAUAUUCUUCCAUUUUCUCUUCGAUGGAGAUGAUUUCACAUACACGAUUUGCUCAUCAAUGGUGUCUCAUACUUUCCUCUUUGCAAUGUUUGUUUCAGCAAUUUUUUUGUCAAGCAGUCUCAGUGAACAGCGUUUGUUCUCCGAUUUCAACUUCACGAAGGUAUAAGAUAUUAUAAAAGACCUUUUUUGAAUGCUGUAGCAUCAUUUGACACUACAUUAUAAUCAACUAGCACAACCACUCGAGUCACUCAUAUCCAUCAUAUUCGUAGUGUAUAUUUCAUAAAUAACAAAAUCAUCGCUAAAUUCAUUCAGCACAUCAAACACACGUUGGACGAAGCUGCUUCUAUUCUUUAAUUUCAACGUGCUACAGACUAUUUACGUUCUUGUA